AUGAUAGUACAUUAAAUCUGUUUGUAGCAACGUCACAGAGAAGACCAUAUUGGCAGAUAUCGCCUGAUUUGUAUUCUUACGUUAAGUAUAUAUUGUCUGUUUUAGACCUUUACCAAAACUCUAUGGAGGAAAAUCAGUAGCGGAUGACAGAAAAUGAGUGUUAAUGUAAAGAUUUUUUAAGUUGAUAAAUGAAGAUAACUAUGAUUUAUGUAGGAGAAUACAUCAUAUUUGUACUAUCGUAUUGCACUGCAGUGCUUGGUUAUCAGAGAAUCACCUGUGAGAGCAAGAAACAUGCGUACAAAGCAUGUUCCCUAAAUGACCACUACAAUACUAUUGUAAAAUCCGAACAACUAUCUGGUUCUCCAUGUGAAAUCGGUGUGUCGUUCGGUCUGAACGGUAACAUUAUAUGGGUGAGCAAAGGGUGCCGGGCAACUUUCAUUGUCUCAAAUACAGAAACAACUACAUCCACUAACAACGCCGAAUCCUAUUACGACUACAUCUGUUGCUCAAACGACCACGGGAAAGUAUAUUGCCACCACCUUUGUCAUUCAAUCAACAAGUGACGAGCACACCACUGCACCCACUAUCUCGACCUCCAUCAAUAAUGCUACUGGAUUUCGUACAUGUGAUUGUACCGCGACAUGCAUUAAAGAUCUACGCAAGAAGCUAGCAAUCAACAAAGCUCUGUUGUCAUCAGUGAUUAGAAAACGUACAUCCGCUUCAGACCAACGCACGUCAUCAGCCAUCAUAGGAUACUCGGCAGUGACUUUCCUAGUAAUGGUCGGACUAUUUCUAGUAAUUUUGGACCUAAUUACACUUUAAGAGUAUUUAUUAGGCAAGCUGAUACCUUCAUGAGAACGCCUAUAUAUGUUUGAAACAUGGCUUGCAAAUGUACAUAUUCAGCUUACCUGGUAAUAUUUAAAACGUAAUCCAGCCGUUUUGUCCUAACUGUAACAUUAUAGUGAGACAUAAAUGUUUUCAAAACAAGUUUAAGUGAAAUAUCAUGUUGUGCAUCCCACCAUAUAGAUAUAUCUUUAUUCAAUAUGAAAAAUCUAUGAACUCCAUGUCCGUCAUAACCCGGACACGGAUAAUUUCAUAUGAAAAACAAAACAAAUGUUUUUGCUCUACAAAAGGUCGAGACGAUUUCUUACGUAUUACUUAUGUACAUGAAACAUAACAUAAGCCUAAUGGAUUCGAUAAAGGAGGUCCAGCAUUUUCAUCUUUCUGUGUGGUACAUAUUAUUUUCAAGGCUUCAGCUGCUGAUGAAGUUAUAUUAUUCAAACCAAUACGAACACUAUAACAAAUAAAGUGA